rnacentral:rRNA from 1 species
CCCUUAGAUGUUCUGGGCUGCACGCGCGCUACACUGAUGCGUGCAACGAGCUUAUAACCUUGGCCGAAAGGUCUGGGUAAUCUCCAAAUUUCGUCGUGAUGGGGAUAGAUUAUUGCAAUUAUUAAUCUUCAACGAGGAAUGCCUAGUAAGCGCAAGUCAUCAGCUUGCGUUGAUUACGUCCCUGCCCUUUGUACACACCGCCCGUCGCUCCUACCGAUUGAAUGGUCCGGUGAAGCGUUCGGACCGUGGCCUUUGGACGGUUCGCCGUCUGUUGGCUGCGGGAAGUUCGUUAAACCUUAUCAUUUAGAGGAAGGAGAAGUCGUAACA